GGGGCUGUAGCUCAGUGGUAGAGCGCUUGCCUAGCAUGCGUGAGGCACUGGGUUCGAUCCUCAGAACCA
rnacentral:tRNA from 1 species